rnacentral:rRNA from 1 species
UUGAACGCUGGCGGCAGGCCUAACACAUGCAAGUCGAGCGGCAGCGCGGGGCAACCUGGCGGCGAGCGGCGGACGGGUGAGUAACGCGUAGGAAUCUACCCAGUAGCGGGGGAUAGCCCGGGGAAACUCGGAUUAAUACCGCAUACGCCCUAAGGGGGAAAGCAGGGGAUCGUAAGACCUUGCACUAUUGGAAGAGCCUGCGUUGGAUUAGCUAGUUGGUAGGGUAAAGGCCUACCAAGGCGACGAUCCAUAACUGGUCUGAGAGGAUGAUCAGUCACACCGGAACUGAGACACGGUCCGGACUCCUACGGGAGGCAGCAGUGGGGAAUAUUGGACAAUGGGGGUAACCCUGAUCCAGCCAUGCCGCGUGUGUGAAGAAGGCCUUCGGGUUGUAAAGCACUUUAAGUGGGGAGAAAGGUUCGCUGGCUAAUAUCCAGCGGAAUUGAUGCUACCCACAGAAUAAGCACCGGCUAACUCUGUGCCAGCCGCCGCAGUAA